rnacentral:rRNA from 1 species
GAUGAACGCUGGCGGCGUGCCUAAUACAUGCCAGUCGAGCGAACGGACGAGAAGCUUGCUUCUCUGAUGUUAGCGACGGACGGGUGAGUAAUACGUGGAUAACCUACCUAUAAGACUGGGGUAACUUCGGGAAACCGGAGCCAGUACCGGAUAAUAGUUUGAACCGCAUGGUUCAAAAGUGCAAAACGGUUUUGCUGUCACUUAUAGAGGGAUCCGCGCUGCAUUAGCUAGUUGGUAAGGUAACGGCUUACCAAGGCAACGAUGCAUAGCCGACCUGAGAGGGUGAUCAGUCACACUGGAACUGAGACACGGUCCAGACUCCUACGGGAGGCAGCAGUAGGGAAUCUUCCGCAAUGGGCGAAAGCCUGACGGAGCAACGCCGCGUGAGUGAUGAAGGUCUUCGGAUCGUAAAGCACUGUUAUUAGGGAGGAAGAUAUGUGAAUGUAACUGUUCACGUCUUGACGUUACCUACUCAGAAAGCCACGGCUAACUACGUG